GAUGAACGCUGGCGGCGUGCCUAAUACAUGCAAGUCGAGCGAAUGGAUUAAGAGCUUGCUCUUAUGAAGUUAGCGGCGGACGGGUGAGUAACACGUGGGUAACCUGCCCAUAAGACUGGGAUAACUCCGGGAAACCGGGGCUAAUACCGGGUAACAUUUUGAACCGCAUGGUUCGAAAUUGAAAGGCGGCUUCGGCUGUCACUUAUGGAUGGACCCGCGUCGCAUUAGCUAGUCGGUGAGGUAACGGCUCACCAAGGCAACGAUGCGUAGCCGACCUGAGAGGGUGAUCGGCCACACUGGGACUGAGACACGGCCCAGACUCCUACGGGAGGCAGCAGUAGGGAAUCUUCCGCAAUGGACGAAAGUCUGACGGAGCAACGCCGCGUGAGUGAUGAAGGCUUUCGGGUCGUAAAACUCUGUUGUUAGGGAAGAACAAGUGCUAGUUGGAUAAGCUGGCACCUUGACGGUACCUAACCAGAAAGCCACGGCUAACUACGUGCCAGCAGCCGCCGUAA
rnacentral:rRNA from 1 species